rnacentral:tRNA from 4 species
GGUGAUGUGGCUCAGAGGUUGAGCGGCGGACUGUUAAUCCGCGAGGAAUUUCCUCUAUACUGGUUCGAGUCCAGUCAUCACCG